rnacentral:tRNA from 1 species
GGUCCUGUGGAGCAGUUCGGAGUGCUCGCCGCCCUGUCAAGGCGGAGGUCGCGGGUUCAAGUCCCGUCAGGACCGCCA